UGUUAUUUCUUGAUAAUGGAAUCUAAUGCUCUUUUCCUUUAUGUAUAGAGAUAAUUGUAACAAAUAAUGGAAUAUACUUUUAUGGACCGGG